UGAAUCCUACGGGGCGCAGCAGUGGGGAAUCUUCCGCAAUGGGCGCAAGCCUGACGGAGCAAUGCCGCGUGAACGAAGAAGGUCUUCGGAUUGUAAAGUUCUGUCCUUAUCGAAGAGAGGGUAUAGAGUGAAAAAUGAUAUACUAGGACGGUAGAUGAGGAGGAAGCCCCGGCUAACUACGUGCCAGCAGCCGCGGUAAUACGUAGGGGGCGAGCGUUGUCCGGAAUCACUGGGCGUAAAGGGCGCGUAGGCGGUAAUAUAAGUCAGCGGUAAAAUCGCGGGGCUCAACCUCGCUCCGCCGUUGA
rnacentral:rRNA from 1 species